rnacentral:rRNA from 1 species
GAUGAACGCUGGCGGCGUGCCUAAUACAUGCAAGUCGAGCGAACGGACGAGAAGCUUGCUUCUCUGAUGUUAGCGGCGGACGGGUGAGUAACACGUGGAUAACCUACCUAUAAGACUGGGAUAACUUCGGGAAACCGGAGCUAAUACCGGAUGAUAUUUUGAACCGCAUGGUUCAAAAGUGAAAGACGGUCUUGCUGUCACUUAUAGAUGGAUCCGCGCUGCAUUAGCUAGUUGGUAAGGUAAUGGCUUACCAAGGCAACGAUGCAUAGCCGACCUGAGAGGGUGGGCGGCCACACUGGAACUGAGACACGGUCCAGACUCCUACGGGAGGCAGCAGUAGGGAAUCUUCCGCAAUGGGCGAAAGCCUGACGGAGCAACGCCGCGUGAGUGAUGAAGGUCUUCGGAUCGUAAAACUCUGUUAUUAGGGAAGAACAUAUGUGUAAGUAACUGUGCACAUCUUGACGGUACCUAAUCAGAAAGCCACGGCUAACUACGUG